rnacentral:rRNA from 1 species
UACGGGGGGUGCAAGCGUUGUUCGGAAUCACUGGGCGUAAGGCGCGUGUAGGCGGAAGAUCAAGUCGGAUGUGAAAUCCCAAGGCUUAACCAUGGAAUUGCAUUCGAUACCGGUCAUCUAGAGUGCGGUAGAGGGAAGGGGAAUUCCCGGUGUAGAGGUGAAAUUCGUAGAUAUCGGGAGGAAUACCGGUGGCGAAGGCGCCUUCCUGGGCCGACACUGACGCUAAGACGCGAAAGCGUGGGGAGCAAACAGG